UACAGAGGUGGCAAGCGUUGUUCGGAAUUACUGGGCGUAAAGGGCGCGUAGGCGGCUUGGUCAGUCCCGUGUGAAAUCCCUCGGCUCAACUGAGGAACUGCACGGGAAACUGCCUGGCUUGAGUUCGGGAGAGGGAAGCGGAAUUCCGGGUGUAGCGGUGAAAUGCGUAGAUAUCCGGAGGAACACCGGUGGCGAAGGCGGCUUCCUGGACCGACACUGACGCUGAUGAGCGAAAGCCAGGGGAGCAAACGGG
rnacentral:rRNA from 1 species